GACGAACGCUGGCGGCGUGCUUAACACAUGCAAGUCGAACGGAAAGGCCCUGCUUUUGUGGGGUGCUCGAGUGGCGAACGGGUGAGUAACACGUGAGUAACCUGCCCUUGACUUUGGUAUAACUUCAGGAAACUGGGGCUAAUACCGGAUAGGAGCUCCUGCUGCAUGGUGGUGGUUGGUAAGUUUCGGCGGUUGGGUAUGGACUCGCUGCUUAUCAGCUUGUUUGUUGGGUAGUGGCUUACCAAGGCUUUGACGGGUAGCCGGCCUGAGAGGGUGACCGGCGACAAUGGGACUGAGAUACGGCACAGAAUACUACGGGAGGCAGCAGGGGGGAAGAUUGCACAAUGGGCGGAAGCCUGAGGAAGAAAAGCGGCGUGCGGGAUGACGGCCUUCGGGUUGUAAACAGCUUUCGACUGUGAAGAAGAGUGAGUGACGGUAAUGGGUAAAGAAGCAACGGCUAACUACGUG
rnacentral:rRNA from 1 species